UACAGAGGUCCCGAGCGUUGUUCGGAUUCACUGGGCGUAAAGGGUGCGUAGGUGGCCUGAAAAGUUUGAUGUGAAAGCUCAGGGCUUAACCCUGAAAUGGCAUUGAAUACUGUCGGGCUGGAGGUUUGGAGGGGGGACGUGGAAUUCUUGGUGUAGCAGUGAAAUGCGUAGAUAUCAAGAGGAACACCAGUGGCGAAGGCGAGUCCCUGGACAACACCUGACACUGAGGCACGAAAGCUAGGGGAGCAAACAGG
rnacentral:rRNA from 1 species